CGGCCAGACUCCUACGGGAGGCAGCAGUGGGGAAUAUUGCACAAUGGGCGCAAGCCUGAUGCAGCGACGCCGCGUGAGCGAAGAAGUAUUUCGGUAUGUAAAGCUCUAUCAGCAGGGAAGAAAAUGACGGUACCUGACUAAGAAGCUCCGGCUAAAUACGUGCCAGCAGCCGCGGUAAUACGUAUGGAGCAAGCGUUAUCCGGAAUUACUGGGUGUAAAGGGAGCGUAGACGGCAGCGCAAGUCUGGAGUGAAAUGCCGGGGCCCAACCCCGGAACUGCUUUGGAAACUGUGCAGCUCGAGUGCAGGAGAGGUAAGCGGAAUUCCUAGUGUAGCGGUGAAAUGCGUAGAUAUUAGGAGGAACACCAGUGGCGAAGGCGGCUUACUGGACUGUAACUGACGUUGAGGCUCGAAAGCGUGGGGAGCAAACAGGAUUAGAUACCCCAGUAG
rnacentral:rRNA from 1 species